CAACAGAUUUUAACAGAUGAAACAAUUAGCCAAACAUAGUGGUGGUGCAUGCCUGUAGUCCCAACUACUCAGGAGGCCGAGACGGGAGGAUCACUUGAGCCCAGAAGUUUGAGAUUACUCUGAGCUGUGAUGGCACCACUGCACUCCAGCCUGGAUGACAAAGGUCUGAUGGAAGGAAGUCUAUGGAGGAUACCGAGGCAACACAAAGGAGGAGAUGGUCUCUUCUACCUGUGGAGACUGGGCAUCCUUCACCGAAGCACGAAGCAGAAUCAAGCUGUUGCCAUGAAGCUUGUUUCAAGAGCUCAGAAAUACUCCAGGGACUCCUUUACUACUGCUUUUCAAAGAGGCCUUUUUUUCUCUCUUCUCCUUUUCCUGCAAAGAGGGUUAUAUCCAGUGCUCAAGGACAUGGGAUUAUCAGCCUAAGGCAUGAGUACAUGCUGUGGAAACAGAAAUAUGUAUGAAGGGAUGUAUGAAACCACAGAAUAAAUGGAAUCCACAUUCUUGAAGUAGCUACAACUCUACUUGAGGGUAAGUAAUUAAGUAUUUUAAAAUGCAAAAAAGUAUAUAUUAUGAGGUAGAAACUAAAUCUUUAUUUUUAGGAUAAAACAUUUGAAUUCAAAGGGACUUUCAGCAUGUCGGGAAGCAAGUCUGACACAGGAAUAAUGUCCUCUGAAGCAAAGGCUUUUUCAGUGGCAAAGCUUAAGAAUGCUGAUCUGCAUGAUGGGAAAAUUUAGUGUUGGCACAAGAAAUUAACUAAUAUGUUUUUCUGUUGUCUGAAAAGGAAAAUAAUGCUUGGCUUCAGGUAUUUGGAAAUACUGCACAUUCGGGCUAAGAAUGAGAUGACCAUUUUCUCAUUUUCAACUAAUUAUUUCAAGAUACCAAAACAAAACAAACAAAUGCCAUUGUACUGGCCUGCGUAGCUUACAACAGUUACCCUGUCUAAGAAGGAGAUUGAUUCCAGAACCCAGAAUAAAGCAGAGAAUGCAGAUGGUGGUCACAUGGGUUCAGGUAAGGAGUAAGGAAAGUCACUGGCCCUUCUCCAAGUGCUGUGCAGGUGCAAAAGUUAUUUAAUUUUCUGUUUCUCUCUUGAAUGAAUAUGCUACCUAUUUGGUGGUAUAACACGUAAACUCAUUCAUAUUAAAUGUCAAUACAUGCUUUAAUGUUUUAAUCAAUAAAUGUACUAAAUAAUUUAAAUUUACAAGGGAUUUUGGAAACAGAUCCAACUUUAAGCAUGGCAGGAAAUUGAUAUUUGGACAAGGAAUGUUAGCACAUUCUUAGAUCAUACUCAGAUUUAAGGUAAGACUACUCUAUUUUUCAAACCAAUCUAGGUAUAUAAAACCAAAUCUAGUUAGAAUGAGAAUACUAAAUUAAACAUAAGUUUGUUAUUCAGAUAUUCCAUGUAGAACUGUGGGAUGAAGUGCAAUCAGCUGUGACUGGUUGGAAUAAGGACCUGCCUUAUCCCAUGGAGAGUUAGAGAAUCUGUUCCAACAAGGACAGAAGGUCCAGGUGGGAAGAGCUCUGGAAAACAAAACUCUCUGACAGCGCUCUUGAAAGCUCUGCUGGCAUCCCAAGGCACGUAGAUAGUACCUAUACAUCUCAUCAGGAACAUGGAUGGUUCUCUGCUAUCAGCUGAAGUGCUGUGACCACAAAACUGAAAAUUCCCAUUCUGUGUCCUUGCCAAUAAAGAAUGUCCAUCAGAGCACGCCCAGUAUCCUAGCUCCUUAUCCAGACUGUGCUUCUCAACCCUUGCUGCUGGACUGAAGGGCAAACCCAAGGGACCUCAGAUUGCACUCAGAAUCCUCAAUCUUCUCCCAUGGCUGAAGUUUGUCUCUGGCACAAUGGUGUUUGCCUGACUCACACUCCCUUUGGGAGCUCCUCAUGCAAAUACUGUUCCAGAAGAUCUGCACAUCAAUUUAUUGAGACACUCAGAAUUGCUGCCCAUCAAAGAAUGGACUCUGCAUAGGUUUAGAUUAGGAAACUCAGAAACAUCAAUACUUAAGCAUAAUUAGACAACAGUUGGAGCUUAGGCAGACUAUUUUGAGGGGAUCUUUUGCAGAACUCUUCCAGAUCUCUGUGGUGUCCCUCCAAAGACAAACUCUUUAUAAUUCUACUCUGUCCCACAUCGAAGCCAGUGCAGUAUUGAAAAAUGGCAUUAAGAAAACUUUAGGCUUUUACUGGAAACAAGCACCUUCUUUAUUGUAAAUAACUCCAUAUAGACCUGUAAUAAGUUAGAAUCAGAAUGAUCUUUCUGUCAUGAUUCCAUUUUUUAUACAACUCAUGUGCCUCAAACUCCACAGGAGUCAAUAAUUUAUGACUCUGAAAUAAUACUGAAUUUCAAAGCUUAGUAUGCAGUGUAUGGAAAAAAUGCCUCACCAUUUUUCUUGCUGUCAUUUGAAGGCACAGUAGCAGAUGCAUCACAACAUUGGAGAUACAUUCUGAAAAUGCCAAUAUCUCCAUCAGUUAUAGAUUUGUCAUAAUUAAUGCUGACGGCUCCUGCUGUACCAUUGUAUUCUUCAUUCACACCAUUAGUCCUCUCUUUGACAUGCUGGACUGUGUUCAGCCAUCUUGGUGUGGCUCUCUCCCCAUGGUUCUACAUGCCCUCUCCUUCAACUUUCUCCCAUGUCCACUGACUAGUCCUCAGACCAAGCAGGGAAUUUCCAGACCAGUCCCUUUGUCUCAUGAACUUUCUUUCUCUUUGCUUCUUCUCCCCCUCCAUGACAAUUACAUUUUCUCUCAUAAACAGACAUGAUAAUGUUGAAGAUAUAUAACAUUUUGAGGGAGUUUUAGAAUACUAAUUUUUGGGGUCAACUUGGAUGUGAAGAUAAAGUGAAAACUAUGCCUUUCCUGCAGUUGAUAUAAUUUUCUCAUGAGGCUUGUCCCCUUUAGGUAUAUGUGUAGGGUGGGGUCAAUGUUGGUGGAAGAGGGGAAUUCUGAAGUGCCAAAAAAGUAUUUGUCUCCUUAAUGAUCUCUUUUGUAUGUUAUUCUCUUACAGGUAAAAGCUCCAUUUUCAGAUUUUUGCUCCCUCCUCCAGCUCCUUUCUAAGAUGGCAUGUUGCUAUAUGUAGGAGGAGGGUCUUCUGUCAUUUCAUAUCAUUGGGACAGGGGACUGCAUUGUCUGCCAGGUAUCCUCUGGAUCCUCCCUGUUCUGAUAGGCCUGUUGUACACUGAAGUGCCUCUCAUACCACCUGGAGUUCUAGAAAUAGGUGUUGUCACUGAUUGCUGAAAUCUGCGAUCUGGUCAUUUUCUUUUGAUUAAGAAAUCCUGCCUACUUCAGCAUGUCCUGACUCCAUGUCUCUGCCAAUCCAGCAGGUCUCUGAGUGCCUGGGCAUGCUGUCCGCCAGAUAUGCAGAACUCCAUGAUCCCUUGAAGCCAUGUGAAGGUGGAGGAAAGCCGGGAGCAGAACCUCAGGCUCAUCUAUUUUUUCAUCCCUCUCUGCCAGGGCACCUUACUCCUGUGCCAUGCUGGAUGUGGCACCAGUCACAUGCCAGGCUGCUCCUAGAAGCUUGCAGGUUUUCUUGGGCCUCCCAAAGGAGGCCAACCACUGCCUGAGUGUCCUUGUGUUCCCCCCACCCCACCAUCACCUCUGUCUUCUAGGGUUUUCACCUUCAGUUGGGAAGUAGGUCACAUGCCUCUGGCUGUGUUUUCCUGCUUGGCUUCUCCUUCCCUGUUUUCUUCCUGCCACAGAGGGUUUCUUUUAUUUUCUCUCCCAGUCUGGAAGGAAUUUUCUCUGGGGUGAUAAUGGCAGACAGGCUUCCAGAUAUCAUGAUUCAAGGUGGUAGAGAAUGGGGAGAGACAAAGAAAAACCCUAUUAUUUAAAAAUUUUCAAAAUAGCACCCCUGAAAAUAAAAUUAUAUAACUGAAACUCGUGUUCCCCAAACCACUUAUCAUCCUUGAAGAAAAAUGGGGAUCAUAUGAAUAGUAAUAAGUACUCUUGUUCUGGCUCUCAUCUUCAUCUUUGAUUUGGGGCCUCUAACCCCACUCAAAGUUUUCUGCGUUUAUUUCUAUGAUUCUUCCUCACAUAUCCCUCUAAACAAUGUGAGCAUGUGGCCAACCCACUUCCUUAUCUUUUGCUACCUGAAAAGCCCUGUACAUCCCUUCAUGUGGAUGCAGGUGAUUUGGGUGAUGAUGCUCUUGUCAAGGAUACUGCCUCCAGUCACUUGAGAAUAGGCUGCCAGGCCAGGAACGGUGGCUCAUGCCUGUAAUCCCAGUACUUUGGGAAGCCAAGGCAGGCAGAUCGACUGAGGUCAUGAGUUGGAGGCCAGCCUGGCCAACAUGGUGAAACCCCAUUUCUACUAAAAGAGCAAACAUUAGCUGGGCAUGGUGGCAGGUUCCUAUAAUCCCAGCUACUCAGGAGGCUGAGGCAAGAGAAUGGCUUGAACCCAGGAGAUGGAGGUUGCAGUGAGCCGAGAUCAUGCCACUGUACUCCAGUUUAAGUGACAGAGCGAGACUUUGUCUUAAAAAAGAAAAAGAAAAGAAAGAAAAAAAGAGAACAGGUUGCCCUCUGCUGCUCUGGAAAUGCUUGGUGCUGGGUCCCUGGGGAACCUGACUGCUGUAGUUGUGCUGCCACUGCUAAUGGGGAGGGCCAUGCCUUCUCUUGUGGCCGCUUCUUAGCUGUCAUGGCUGCACUUAUGAUGUGCAGGGCCCUGCCCGCACUGGGCUAUCAGGAAGUGGC
rnacentral:lncRNA from 10 species